rnacentral:rRNA from 1 species
GACGAACGCUGGCGGCGGGCUUAACACAUGCAAGUCGAACGGUAAGGCCCUGCUGUUGUGGGGUGCUCUAGUGGCGAACGGGUGAGUAACACGUGAGUAACCUGCCCUUGACUUUGGGAUAACUUCAGGAAACUGGGGCUAAUACCGGAUAGGAGCUCCUGCUGCAUGGUGGGGGUUGGAAAGUUUCGGCGGGUGGGGAUGGACUCGCGGCUUAUCAGCGUGUUGGUGGGGUAGUGGCUUACCAAGGCUUUGACGGAUAGCCGGCCUGAGAGGGUGACCGGCCACAUUGGGACUGAGAUACGGCCCAGACUCCUACGGGAGGCAGCAGUGGGGAAUAUUGCACAAUGGGCGGAAGCGUGAUGCAGCAACGCCGCGUGCGGGAUGACGGCCUUCGGGUUGUAAACCGCUUUCGCCUGUGACGAAGCGUGAGUGACGGUAAUGGGUAAAGAAGCACCGGCUAACUACGUG